rnacentral:rRNA from 1 species
UACGUAGGGUGCGAGCGUUAAUCGGAAUUACUGGGCGUAAAGCGUGCGCAGGCGGUUCCGCAAGUCAGAUGUGAAAUCCCCGGGCUUAACCUGGGAACUGCAUUUGAAACUACGGAGCUAGAGUGUGUCAGAGGGGGGUAGAAUUCCACGUGUAGCAGUGAAAUGCGUAGAGAUGUGGAGGAAUACCGAUGGCGAAGGCAGCCCCCUGGGAUAACACUGACGCUCAUGCACGAAAGCGUGGGGAGCAAACAGG